GUCCCAAUGGUGUAGUGGUAGCACACCUGCCAUUUCUAAGCGUAGCUACAUCCUUAUUCCGCUGGAGGUGUGGGUUCAAUCCCCACUGCGGACA